CUUUCCCUUCACGUUGUGGUGGAUCUCCUUCACCUUCUUAUCAUUCGCUGCACCACUACCAUUUCUGUGCUUGUUGUCAUACUUCAGAUGCUUGUUGUCAUAUAUACUUGGUAUCACUCUUGUGGUCCUUCGUCAGAUGCUUGUCACUGCUGGUACCGACCUGCUUGUUCGGCCUAGCGGCGGACCUUGCAGGACAAAGUUUGGGUUAGGUUGGAGCAGAAAACCUAGCUGGUAACGAAGCAAGCGACAUAACAAAAAGCAUAAACCAUGCACCAACCAAAAUUUAGAAAAGAGUAAAUUUUAUAAAAUUAUAUAUGAUAUGGCUCUAGGAGCUAAUAUUCACUGCUGGUCGUAUAUUAGGAUAUCGAUAAGCAAGGUCUAUAAGGUGAAACUCUGACCAGCAAUUUCUAUGAAAAAUAUGAUAUUUUAACUGAAAGCAAUAAAAGUAAUAACAUGUUAUGAAAAGAUAGUCUUUCGCCAUGAAUAGUGUAACAACAACAAUCUUGUAUUUUCAGUCCACGUUAUUUUCAUCAGUAGAUGCCUGCUAUUCGGCAUCCUGAGCCAUGAUCAGCGGAUAGCAAGCGGAGGAAGAGGAGGAGGAGAAAUGAAGCCAAGUAUGUACCUGCCGCCGGUGUCUUUGCAACCGCCCGC
rnacentral:lncRNA from 1 species